AACCCGAACCCAAAAUUAUUUUACAUUCUAUAUAAUAUAUAUAAAUAUUUGAUGUUAUAUUUGACUUUGUAUUUUAAAAAUUUAGAUUUAAUAUAAUAAAUUUUGAAAUAUUGUAAAGAGAAAUAAUUAUUUCGGGUCAGACUUUUGGGUUCGGGCUCGAACUUGGAUUUUGAAUUUUUUGUCGGGUUCUGGUUUGAAUAUAGAUUUUUAAAAUCCAUCAGAUUUGGAUUCGGGUUCGGAUUUCGAAUUUGGUAGUCGGCUUUAGGUUCAUUUUUUUUUUGAAAAUUUGUUCAGAAUCCGACCUCUCGACAUCCCUAGUUGAGAAGCUCCUCAAUGAAUUCUUAUUAAGACAAUUUGUUAGGCCAUUUAAUUAAAAAUUUAUUUUGAUCUUGUUGGGCUAAUAAGGCGCGGCCAUGUGGUACACCGAUGCUUUGCUUAACCUUAUUUCUUAAGGGUAGGAAUUUUGAUGUGCACCGGGAGCAUCGGAAGAAGCAUGAACCAUUACCGCAUGUAACUGAGGGGAGUUACAGUAACCGCAAGCGGUUACAAGCUGUUCCAAUCGGCUGGAAUGGUCCGGAAAAAUAGGAAUAGUGGUCGAUCAUGGAUGAGAAAUAACUGAUCCACAGGGGCGAGCUAUAAAUAGUCAAAUAAUGCCCUGAAAACAGGUCUUUUUCCCGUGAACAGAAGAUCAUCUUUUUUUCCUCUGCAAUUUCCUCGCAUUCUCUAGGAGUAGUUUACUUGUAAUCUUUUACUUUCCAGCACUUACUGUUUUUUCUAGGAGUAGAGUUAAGUUAGAGCAACCGAGUCUGUAUGCCUUCAGGCAUACUCAACCCUUUGUACUUUUUCAUAAGUUGAUAUAAAGGUAUUCGACUCAUCAGCCGGCCUAAAAGCCUUUGUUUUCCGUACAUUCGGCUCACCCAGCCGAACCUAGUCCAUAGUAAUUGUCUUCGAACUCGCACAGUAGAAGUUUUCGAACUCGGCUGAUUCGAUCCUUAUCAGUCAAAUCGCUUGAUCCAGUUGAAGGGCGCAAACUUCGAGGGUCACUAGUCACGGCCGUUCCGCAUCCCUACACUCUUUCCGAGAGAGAUCUUUGAUCGGGUCAAGGAUCAGAGAAUUCGGCUCCUAUAACAGAACUAAAAUAUUUUUGUUCCAAUUUUAAC
rnacentral:lncRNA from 1 species